UACGUAGGGGCAAGCGUUGGCCGGAUUUAUUGGGCGUAAAGAGCGUGUAGGCGGCCAGACAGGUCCGUUGUGAAACUCGAGGCUCAACCUCGAGACGUCGACGGAAACCGUCUGGCUAGAGUCCGGAAGAGGAGUGUGGAAUUCCGUGGUGUAGCGGUGAAAUGCGCAGAUAUCAGGAAGAACACCUAUGGCGAAGGCAGCACUCUGGGACGGUACUGACGCUGAGACGCGAAAGCGUGGGGAGCGAACAGG
rnacentral:rRNA from 1 species